ensembl:snRNA U2 U2 spliceosomal RNA
UUAGCUUCUUGGCCUUUUGGUUAACAUCAAGUAUAGUAUCUGUUGUUAUUGGUUUAAUAACAACUGCAUACAAUCUGAGACAUUAAAAGGGUAAUGAUU